UACGUAGGGGGCAAGCGUUGUCCGGAAUCAUUGGACGUAAAGCGCGUGUAGGCGGCUCGGUAAGUCCGCUCUGAAAGUCCAAGGCUCAACCUUGGGAUGCGGGUGGAUACUGCCGGGCUCGAGUCCGGAAGAGGCGAGUGGAAUUCCUGGUGUAGCGGUGAAAUGCGCAGAUAUCAGGAGGAACAUCAAUGGCGAAGGCAGCUCGCUGGGACGUGACUGACGCUGAGACGCGAAAGCGUGGGGAGCAAACAGG
rnacentral:rRNA from 1 species